GAUGAACGCUGGCGGCGUGCUUAACACAUGCAAGUCGAACGGGAUCCAAGGGGUGCUUGCACUUUUUGGUGAGAGUGGCGAACGGGUGAGUAACACGUGAGUAACCUGUCCUUUUCUUUGGGAUAAGCAUUCGAAAGGGUGUUUAAUACCUUAUGUUCUGUCUGCCUCGCAUGGGGUGGGUGGGAAAGGCUUUGGCCGGAUUUGGGUGGGCUCGCGGUCUAUCAGCUUGUUGGUGGGGUGAUGGCUUACCAAGGCUUUGACGGGUAGCCGGCCUGAGAGGGUGGUUGGUCACAUUGGGACUGAGAUACGGCCCAGACUCCUGCGGGAGGCAGCAGUGGGGGAUAUUGCACAAUGGGCGAAAGCCUGAUGCAGCGACGCCGCGUGGGGGAUGAAGGCCUUCGGGUUGUAAACUUCUUUUGCUCUGAACAAGGCAUGCCAGUGGGUGUGUUGAGUGUAGGGGUUGAUUAGCGCCGGCUAACUACGUG
rnacentral:rRNA from 1 species